rnacentral:rRNA from 1 species
AAUAUUGCGAAAUGGGGGGAACCCUGGCGCAGCAACGCCGCGUGAGCGACGAAGGCCUUCGGGUCGUAACGCUCUGUCUUAAGGGAUGAUAAUGACAGUACCUUAAGAGGAAGCCCCGGCUCCCUACGUGCCUGCAGCCUCGGUAAUACGUAGGGGGCAAGCGUUGUCCGGACUUACUGGGUGUAAAGGGCGCGUCAGCGGUUAUCUAAGCCAGCUGUGAAAGUCCAGGGCUUAACCCUGGAAUUGCAAUUGAAACUAAAUAACUUGAGUUAAGGAGAGGAGAGCGGAAUUCCUAGUGUAGCGGUGAAAUGCGUAGAGAUUAGGAGGAACACCAGUGGCGAAGGCGACUUUCUGGACUGUAACUGACGCUGAGGUACGAAAGCGUGGGUAGCGAACA